rnacentral:rRNA from 1 species
GACGAACGCUGGCGGCGUGCUUAACACAUGCAAGUCGAACGGAAAGGCCCUGCUUUUGUGGUGUGCGCGAGUGGCGAACGGGUGUGUAACACGUGAGUAACCUGCCCUUGACUUUGGUAUGACUUCAGGAAACUGGGGCUAAUACCGGAUAGGAGCUCCUGCGGCAUGGUGGUGGUUGGAAAGUUUCGUCGGUUGGGGAUGGACUCGCGGCUUAUCAGCUUGUUGGUGGGGUAGUGGCUUACCAAGGCUUUGACGGGUAGCCGGCCUGAGAGGGUGACCGGCCACAUUGGGACUGAGAUACGGCCCAGACUCCUACGGGAGGCAGCAGUGGGGAAUAUUGCACAAUGGGCGGAAGCCUGAUGCAGCAACGCCGCGUGCGGGAUGACGGCCUUCGGGUUGUAAACCGCUUUCGCCUGUGACGAAGCGUGAGUGACGGUAAUGGGUAAAGAAGCACCGGCUAACUACGUG